rnacentral:rRNA from 1 species
AGGAAAAGAAACCAACAGGGAUUGCCUCAGUAGCGGCGAGUGAAGCGGCAAAAGCUCAAAUUUGAAAUCUGGCGUCUUUGGCGUCCGAGUUGUAAUUUGAAGAAGGUAUCUUUGGGCCCGGCUCUUGUCUAUGUUCCUUGGAACAGGACGUCACAGAGGGUGAGAAUCCCGUGCGAUGAGAUGACCCGGGUCUGUGUAAAGUUCCUUCGACGAGUCGAGUUGUUUGGGAAUGCAGCUCUAAGUGGGUGGUAAAUUCCAUCUAAAGCUAAAUAUUGGCGAGAGACCGAUAGCGAACAAGUACAGUGAUGGAAAGAUGAAAAGAACUUUGAAAAGAGAGUGAAAAAGUACGUGAAAUUGUUGAAAGGGAAGGGCUUGAGAUCAGACUUGGUAUUUUGCAUGCUGCUCUCUCGGGGGCGGCCGCUGCGGUUUACCGGGCCAGCAUCGGUUUGGAGCGGCAGGAUAAUGGCGGAGGAAUGUGGCACGGCUUCUGCUGUGUGUUAUAGCCUCUGACGAUGCUGCCAGCCUA